UACGAAGGGAGCUAGCGUUGCUCGGAAUCACUGGGCGUAAAGCGCACGUAGGCGGAUAUUUAAGUCGGUGGUGAAAUCCUGGAGCUCAACUCCAGAACUGCCUCCGAUACUGAAUGUCUCCGAGUCCGGGAGAGGUGAGUGGAACUGCGAGUGUAGAGGUGAAAUUCGUAGAUAUUCGCAAGAACACCAGUGGCGAAGGCGGCUCACUGGCCCGGUACUGACGCUGAGGUGCGAAAGCGUGGGGAGCAAACAGG
rnacentral:rRNA from 1 species